UGGGGGAUAUUGCGCAACGGGGGCAACCCUGACGCAGCAACGCCGCGUGAAGGAUGAAGGUCUUCGGAUUGUAAAGUUCUUUUCUUAAGGACGAAAAUUGACGGUACUUAAGGAAUAAGCUCCGGCUAACUACGUGCCAGCAGCCGCGGCAAUAAGUAGGGAGCAAGCGUUGUCCGGAUUUACUGGGUGUAAAGGGUGCGUAGGCGGCAAUGCAAGUCAGAUGUGAAAUCUAUGGGCUCAACCCAUAAACUGCAUUUGAAACUGCGUUGCUUGAGUGAAGUAGAGGCAGGCGGAAUUCCCCGUGUAGCGGUGAAAUGCGUAGAGAUGGGGAGGAACACCAGUGGCGAAGGCGGCCUGCUGGGCUUUAACUGACGCUGAGGCACGAAAGCGUGGGUAGCAAACAGG
rnacentral:rRNA from 1 species